rnacentral:rRNA from 1 species
AGGACGAACGCUGGCGGCGUGCUUAACACAUGCAAGUCGAGCGGAAAGGCCCUUCGGGGUACUCGAGCGGCGAACGGGUGAGUAACACGUGAGUAAUCUGCCCUUAGCUCUGGGAUAGCUCCGGGAAACCGGGAUUAAUACCAGAUACGACCACUUUAGACAUCUGCCGUGGUGGAAAGAAUUUCGGCUAAGGAUGAGCUCGCGGCCUAUCAGCUUGUUGGUGGGGUAACGGCCUACCAAGGCGACGACGGGUAGCCGGCCUGAGAGGGCGACCGGCCACACUGGGACUGAGACACGGCCCAGACUCCUACGGGAGGCAGCAGUGGGGAAUAUUGCGCAAUGGGCGAAAGCCUGACGCAGCGACGCCGCGUGGGGGAUGAAGGCCUUCGGGUUGUAACCCUUUCAGCAGGGACGAAGCGAAGUGACGGUACCUGCAGAAGAAGCGCCGGCUAACUACGUGCCAGCAGCCGC